ACGCUAGCGGCAGGCUUAAUACAUGCAAGUCGUGGGGCAGCAUGGUGUAGCAAUACACUGAUGGCGACCGGCAAACGGGUGCGGAACACGUACGCAACCUUCCUUUAACUGGAGAAUAGCCCGGGGAAACCCGGAUUAAUACUCCGUAACCUUAUGAAGUGGCAUCACUUUAUAAUUAUAGCUCCGGCGGUUAAAGAUGGGCGUGCGUCUGAUUAGGUAGUUGGCGGGGUAACGGCCCACCAAGCCUACGAUCAGUAACUGGUGUGAGAGCACGACCAGUCACACGGGCACUGAGACACGGGCCCGACUCCUUCGGGAGGCAGCAGUAAGGAAUAUUGGUCAAUGGACGCAAGUCUGAACCAGCCAUGCCGCGUGGAGGAUGAAGGUCCUCUGGAUUGUAAACUUCUUUUAUUUGGGAAGAAACCACCGAUUUCUAUUGGUGUUGACGGUACCAGAUGAAUAAGCACCGGCUAACUCCGUGCCAGCAGCCGCGGUAAUACGGAGGGUGCAAGCGUUAUCCGGAUUCACUGGGUUUAAAGGGUGCGUAGGCGGGUUGGUAAGUCCGUGGUGAAAUCUCCAAGCUUAACUUG
rnacentral:rRNA from 1 species